GCCUCGAUAACUCAGUUGGUAGAGUAGAGGAUUGAAGAUCCUUUUGUCAUCAGUUCGAAACUGGUUCUAGGCA
rnacentral:tRNA from 1 species